CCACGUCCCUGUCGUCGUCCUCGUCCGCAGCCAGCAGGCACAGUACCACGUUGUCGGGGUCACUGCGGACAGCACGGGCAGCGGUAUAUUGAUCCGCAAUGGAUUGGGAUGAAGCAACAGCUGCCUUGCCAUGGACAGUUUGAGAAGCAAUGAACUGGCCAGCCACCGUAGACCUGGGCAUCACUGGGCAGAGGUGAACUCCACACCUGCUCCUUGCUGUCCUCGGUCACACCACACUUAUUCCCACCACCCAGCUUUAGUUCUGAUAAUCUGUCUUCCUCAGUACCCAUGAGGCUUGCAUUUUACCAUCCCUUCUCAGCCUCAGUUGCUGGCUAGUCGCUGACUUUUCAUUCACCAUCCUGUGCUGCCCAACACAAGUAGCCACCAGCCACGUGUGCCUACCGUACACUUGACAUACAGCAAGCCUAAUGAGGAGGCAAGGCAAGUGUCAAUACAAUGGACUUCAAGGACUUACUCAGAAAAUUAUUUAAAGGAGCUCCUUGAUAAUUUAAUGGUUAUUCUGUGCUGAAAUGAUGCCCUGGGUAUACUGUAUUCGUUUAAAUAAGAUAAAGCUAUAAAAUUAAGUAUAA